GCAUAUCAAUAAGCGGAGGGAAAAAGAAACUAACAAGGAUUCCCCUAGUAACUGCGAGUGAAGCGGGAAAAGCUCAAAUUUAAAAUCUGGCGGUCCUUGCGGCUGUCCGAGUUGUAAUCUGGAGAAGUGCUUUCUGUGCUGGACCGUGUACAAGUCUCUUGGAACAGAGCGUCGUAGAGGGUGAGAAUCCCGUCUUUGACACGGACUACCAGUGCUUUGUGAUGCGCUCUCAAAGAGUCGAGUUGUUUGGGAAUGCAGCUCAAAAUGGGUGGUAAAUUCCAUCUAAAGCUAAAUAUUGGCGAGAGACCGAUAGCGAACAAGUACCGUGAGGGAAAGAUGAAAAGAACUUUGGAAAGAGAGUUAAACAGUACGUGAAAUUGCUGAAAGGGAAACACUUGAAGUCAGUCGCGUUGGCCGGAACUCAGCCUUGCUUUUUUGCUUGGUGCACUUUCUGGUCGACGGGUCAGCAUCAGUUUUGAUCGUCGGAUAAUGGCUGGGGGAAUGUGGCAUCUUCGGAUGUGUUAUAGCCCUUGGUCGCAUACGAUGGUUGGGACUGAGGAUCUCAGCACACCUUUAUGGUCGGGGUUCGCCCACGUUUGUGCUUAGGAUGCUGGCAUAAUGGCUUUAAAUGACCCGUCUUGAAACACGGACCAAGGAGUCUAACAUGCAUGCGAGUGUUUGGGUGGAAAACCCGAGCGCGUAAUGAAAGUGAAAGUUGAGACCUCUGUCGUGGAGGGCAUCGACGCCCGGACCAGACCUUCUGUGACGGCUCUGCGGUAGAGCAUGUAUGUUGGGACCCGAAAGAUGGUGAACUAUGCCUGAAUAGGGUGAAGCCAGAGGAAACUCUGGUGGAGGCUCGUAGCGAUUCUGACGUGCAAAUCGAUCGUCAAAUUUGGGUAUAGGGGCGAAAGACUAAUCGAAACCAUCUAGUAGCUGGUUCCUGCGAG
rnacentral:rRNA from 1 species